CGAACAGGAUUAGAUACCCUGGUAGUCCAUGCCGUAAACGUUGGGAACUAGAUGUAGGGGCCAUUCCACGGUUUCUGUGUCGCAGCUAACGCAUUAAGUUCCCCGCCUGGGGAGUACGGCCGCAAGGCUAAAACUCAAAGGAAUUGACGGGGGCCCGCACAAGCGGCGGAGCAUGCGGAUUAAUUCGAUGCAACGCGAAGAACCUUACCAAGGCUUGACAUUACCGGAAACGUCCAGAGAUGGUCGCCCCGCAAGGUCGGUAUACAGGUGGUGCAUGGUUGUCGUCAGCUCGUGUCGUGAGAUGUUGGGUUAAGUCCCGCAACGAGCGCAACCCUCGUUCUAUGUUGCCAGCACGUUAUGGUGGGAACUCAUAGGAGACUGCCGGGGUCAACUCGGAGGAAGGUGGGGAUGACGUCAAAUCAUCAUCCCCCUUAUGUCGUGGGCUUCACGCAUGCUACAAUGGCCGAUACAAAGGGCUGCAAUACCGUAAG
rnacentral:rRNA from 1 species